rnacentral:pre_miRNA from 1 species
CUUGUACUCCCUCCGUCUCAAAAUUCUUGUCUUAGAAUUGUCUAGAUACGGAUGUACCUAAUACUAAAACGUGACUUGAUACAUCCGUAUUUAGACAAAUCUAAGACAAGAAUUUUGAGACGGAGGGAGUACAUA